GUGAUCGGCCACCAUUGGGAGUGAGACCCGGCCCAGACUCNUACGGGAGCCAGCAGUAGGGAAUCCUCCACAAUGGACGAAAGUCUGAUGGAGCAACGCCGCGUGAGUGAUGAAGGUUUUCGGAUCGUAAAACUCUGUUGUAAGGGAAGAACACGUACGAGAGGUAAUGCUCGUACCUUGACGGUACCUUACGAGAAAGCCACGGCUAACUACGUGCCAGCAGCCGCGGUAAUACGUAGGUGGCAAGCGUUGUCCGGAAUUAUUGGGCGUAAAGCGCGCGCAGGCGGCCUUUUAAGUCUGAUGUGAAAGCCCCCGGCUCAACCGGGGAGGGCCAUUGGAAACUGGAAGGCUUGAGUACAGAAGAGAAGAGUGGAAUUCCACGUGUAGCGCUGAAAUGCGUAGAGAUGUGGAGGAACACCAGUGGCGAAGGCGACUCUUUGGUCUGUCACUGACGCUGAGGCGCGAAAGCCUGGGGAGC
rnacentral:rRNA from 1 species